AUGGGACGUACCACAGUUAAUCAUAUUUGGCGUAGAUUAUGGAAACUUUCUUGCUCGACAAAGGUUAAAAAGUUUAUUUGGUGUACGCUACAUCGCACCCUUCUGUGCCGUGUUGCGCUAGCCAAUAGACAUGUGAAAGUCUCACCCAAUUGCCAUGUCUGCUCGGAUGGACUAGAAGAUCAAAGCUCUGUUAUUUUUAUGCAACAGAGCAAACAAGUGUGGAGAAUGCUAGGGAUGGAUGAUAUUAUCGGUAGAGCUUUUCAAGUAGAUCGUGUGAGUGAAGUGGCUUUGGACUAUUUACUUCAAAUGCUAGAUCAUGAGUUGUGUAUGAUGGGCAUCCAGAAUAUACGUGAAAUGAUUGCCAUAUCACCCUGGUACAUUUGGUGGGAAAAGCGUACAUUGGUUCAGAAGGAGACAACUCAAAAUGCACACCAGAUUUCAAUGGGAAUCUGGGCUCUUGCAACCAAUUUUGUUACUGCUUCCCCUCAAAAGGUCUCCAUGAAAACAGGGGGGUUGUCUUGUCCUCUGGUAGGGGUUUGUUAA
rnacentral:rRNA from 1 species